GCCACUGUGGUGCAGUGGUUUGAGUGCUGGACUAGGAAUCCAGGAGACCAGGAUUCAAAUUCCUGCUCAGACU